CCAAUAUAGUAUUUAUGCAAAAAAACUGUAAUCCCCUAAGUACCAUUACGUUUUUUCUUAUUUUUAAUAGUAUUGACAACAUAUUUCUCAAGUUAUCACACAUAAAGUGAAGAAAAAGAAACUAUAUUACUUAUCUAUUUUUUUCAUAUCUAUUUUCACCUUGACUUAAACCACAUUGUUUCUUUUACCUUCUGUGUUGUUGCCUACAACACUUCAGUUAGAGGACUGGAAAAUAGCAAACAGGGGGAAAAAGGCAUGACUUAUUUUGCAUACAGCUAGCCAAACCUGUUGAAACUGUUGUCAUAGCCAAUGCUUUUUAUUGGAACAGAAAACAGCAAGGGUCCAUAGAAAAAUACAGUUGGAAGUUUUUUUUUCCCCACCAAGGCAGCUCAAGAAGGUUGGACACACAAGUACAGUGGCUCUUUUGGCCCAAGACCAAGCCAACAUCAAAGUUAGUUCACUAACUUUACAUUCUAGUUAUGUUGGCUUGGCAACAAGCCAACAUACUGUUAUGCUAUUUAAACUUAUUUUUAUUAUUAUUAUUCUUCUGAGACAGAAUUCCAAACGUAUCUCCUCCUAGGGCUUUUAAGCCACAAGCCCCAAACUCGGCAGACACCUGCGGGAUAUAGCGGUGCUGGUUGCUAUAUCUUUUUAGACUGAUCAGACUUACAGUUUAUUUAUUAUUUAUUUUUAUAAAUCAGAAAUCUCCCAUAGACUCCCAUUAUCUGAGAAAAAUUGCGCCUCUACAGGAGCAAUUCCCGGGACUGAGGGAGGAGUCUGCCUUAGUUUCACUUUUAAAUCGGUUAAAAAUACAUAUAAAUACAUGAAUUUAUUUCACUCUGACAAGCUAAACCAACAUAUUUGAGUAUUACAGGGGUCAGGGCUUAUUAAAAAUGUAUAUCUGGCCACAGAACAGAGAGAAAGACGAGAGAGAAUUCACCGCUCCGUUCAGCGAGUGGUCUCACAGCUGGCUCACAACAAACGAAUUUAUUCUUGUUUAAGACCUUUUAAAAAUAAAAUAUUACAGCGAUUGCACACAAUCCACCCAUUAGAACAAACCAAGAGCUAAAAGAGGGUGUUUUUGAGCUGUUGAUUUUUGAAAAUGAACGAUUUGCGUCAGCUCUUUUGACAGCGCGAGCCCGCGCGGCUUCUCCUGCACUCGCACUACGAGCUCACAAGAAACGAAUUUAUUCUUGUUUAAGACCUUAUAAAAAUAAAAUAUUACAGCGAUUGCACACAAUGCACCCAUUAGAACAAACCAAGAGCUAAUAGUGGGUGUUUUUCAGCUGUUGAAGUUUGAAAAUGAACGAUUUGCGUCAGCUCUUUUGACAGCGCGAGACGGCGCGGCUUCUCGUGCAAUGACACAACGAGCUCGCAAGAAACAAAUUUAUUCUUGUUUAAGACCUUUUAAAAAUAAAAUAUUACAGCGAGUGCACACAAUCCACCCAUUAGAACAAACCAAGAGCUAAAAGUGGGUGUUUUUUCAGCUGCUGAAGUGUGGAAAAUGAACGAUUUGCAUCAGCUCUUUUGACAGCGCGAGACGGCGCGGCUUCUCGUGCAGUGACACAACGAGCUCGCAAGAAACGAAUUUAUUCUUGUUUAAGACCUUUUAAAAAUAAAAUAUUACAGCGAUUGCACACAAUCCACCCAUUAGAACAAACCAAGAGCUAAAAAGUGGGUGUUUUUUUC
ensembl:lncRNA